rnacentral:rRNA from 1 species
UGCAGUCGAGCGGGAGACUUCGGUCUCCAGCGGCGGACGGGUGAGUAACACGUGGGUAACCUGCCUCAUAGAGGGGGAUAGCCUCCCGAAAGGGAGAUUAAUACCGCAUAACAUCACAGUACUGCAUGGUACAGUGAUUAAAGGAGCAAUCCGCUAUGAGAUGGACCCGCGGCGCAUUAGCUAGUUGGUGAGGUAACGGCUCACCAAGGCCACGAUGCGUAGCCGACCUGAGAGGGUGAUCGGCCACAUUGGAACUGAGACACGGUCCAGACUCCUACGGGAGGCAGCAGUGGGGAAUAUUGCACAAUGGGCGAAAGCCUGAUGCAGCAACGCCGCGUGGAGGAUGAAGGCCUUCGGGUUGUAAACUCUUGUCUUCUGGGACGAUAAUGACGGUACCAGAGGAGGAAGCCACGGCUAACUACGUGCCAGCAGCCGCGGUAAUACGUAGGUGGCAAGCGUUGUCCGGAUUUACUGGGCGUAAAGGAUGCGUAGGCGGAUAUUUAAGUGGGAUGUGAAAUACCCGAGCUCAACUUGGGUGCUGCAUUCCAAACUGGAUAUCUAGAGUGCGGGAGAGGAGAGU